GCACAAGUAGCUUAAUUGGUAGAGCAAAACACUGAAAAUGUUAAGGUUACUAGUUCAAUUCUGGUCUUGGGCA
rnacentral:tRNA from 1 species